rnacentral:lncRNA from 1 species
CUUGCCACUUUCUUUGGUCACUUUGUAUGCUUUUUUUAUUUAUUACCUUACAUAUUCUGGAAAGCUAUGGUAGAUCAUUUACUUAAAGCAUCACAAAUUCUUUGGAGGAAGAGUGCAAAGCAAACAAGGAAUCAUUCCCUUUACCCAUGCCAUGAGGUCAACAAGGAAUAACCGAGCCUUCAAACCAACUAAACCCCAAGAAACCAGG